AUUGAACGCUGGCGGCAGGCCUAACACAUGCAAGUCGAACGAGGGGCGGACGGGUGAGUAAUGUCUGGGAAACUGCCCGAGGGGGGGGGAAAACUACGGGAAACGGGAGCUAAUACCGCAUACCAUCGGAUGUGCCCAGAGGGGAUUAGCUAGUAGGUGGGGUAACGGCUCACCUAGGCGAACAUCCAUAGCUGGUCGGAGCGGAUGACCAGUCACACUGGAACUGAGCCACUGUCCAGACUCCUACGGGAGGCAGCAUUGGGGAAUAUUGCACAAUGGGCGCAAGCCUGAUGCAGCCAUGCCGCGUGUAUGAAGAAGGCCUUCGGUUUGUAAAGCACUUGCAGCGAGGAGGCGUUACUCGCAGAAGAAGCACCGGCUAACUCCGUGCCAGCCGCCGCGGUAAUAC
rnacentral:rRNA from 1 species